ACAUUAGUUAGUUGGUAGGGAUAAACCCUACCAAGACGAUGAUGUGUAGCCGGGCUGAGAGGCUGAACGGCCACAUUGGAACUGAGACACGGUCCAAACUCCUACGGGAGGCAGCAGUAGGGAAUUUUCGGCAAUGGAGGAAACUCUGACCGAGCAACGCCGCGUGAACGAUGAAGUAUUUCGAUACGUAAAGUUCUUUUAUUAGGGAAGAAAAGAUGGUGGAAAAACCAUUAUGACGGUACUUAAUGAAUAAGCCCCGGCUAACUAUGUGCCAGCAGCCGCGGUAAUACAUAGGGGGCGAGCGUUAUCCGGAAUUAUUGGGCGUAAAGGGUGCGUAGGCGGUUUAAUAAGUUUAUGGUCUAAGUGCAAUGCUUAACAUUGUGAUGCUAUAAAAACUGUUUGACUAGAGUUGGAUAGAGGCAAGUGGAAUUCCAUGUGUAGCGGUAAAAUGCGUAAAUAUAUGGAGGAACACCAUGAGCGAAGGCGGCUUGCUGGGUCUUAACUGACGCUGAGGCACGAAAGCGUGGGGAGCAAACAGGAUUAGAUACCCUGGUAGUCCACGCCGUAAACGAUGAGUACUAGACGUUGGGUUAAACCCAGUGUCGAAGUUAACACAUUAAGUACUCCGCCUGAGUAGUACGUACGCAAGUAUGAAACUUAAAGGAAUUGACGGGACUCCGCACAAGCGGUGGAUCAUGUUGUUUAAUUCGAAGGUACCCGAAAAACCUCACCAGGUCUUGACAUGCUUCUGCAAAGCUGUAGAAAUACAGUGGAGGUUAUCAGUUGCACAGGUGGUGCAUGGUUGUCGUCAGCUCGUGUCGUGAGAUGUUGGGUUAAGUCCAACAACGAGCGCAACCCUUGUUGUUAAUUGCCAUCAUUAAGUUGGGGACUUUAGCAAGACUGCCAGUGAUAAAUUGGAGGAAGGUGGGGACGACGUCAAAUCAUCAUGCCCCUUAUGACCUGGGCUACAAACGUGAUACAAUGGCUGUUACAAAGGGUAGCUGAAGCGCAAGCUUUUGGCUAAUCUCAAAA
rnacentral:rRNA from 1 species